rnacentral:lncRNA from 1 species
CCUUUGUAUGGUUUGAAUACGAACCAAUAUUUGAAAUUAGCGCCCGAGAGAGAGAAUAUAAAAUGUUAUAAAGACAAUAUUUGAGGGCAUUUUUUAUGCUUUUGAACUUUACUUCACACAUUGUAAUUAUGAUAAUAAAACUUAUGUUAUAUUGACUAGAAGCCCUUUGCUUGAUUAACACGCGUUAGAUACGCUAAACGCACAAAACAUUACAGCCAAGGGUGUUUAUAAACCGACACAUUUUAAUAACUUUAUGUCCAAUAUAUCUAAGGAUAACUUUGCAAGAGGGAGUCAAAACCCUAGUUCCUUAAAGAUUGAUACAUUAAGAUACAGAGAAUAUACACAAAGAUGUAUUAUAAAUAAUGUGAGCAUCGACAUACUAACUUCGGGGAACAAUAGUACAAUAUGCAUCUUGUAUCGACCCAGUGAUCGAAAAUCUACUUAACACUUUUUAACUAAUAAGUCCGAAGUUCAACAACACUCUAAUCCAAAAC